rnacentral:lncRNA from 1 species
UCCCUGCUGCUUUAUGACUUGCACGUUUUUCUGUUUCUUUUUCCCUCCACCCCCACCUUCCUGCUCUGUUCUGAUCCUCAUCCUCUGGAGCCUGCCUCCCCACGAAACCAGCUUGGCCCCAGCUCCUGUUUGUCAAGGGAGGACUGAGUCACUGAUGGGAAUUUUCUGGACCCCAUCUUCCCUGGUUGAGCAGGUGCCUUCAGUGAGUAUAAAGAAUCAGGGAAGUGCCCUGUCCCUUGGAAGCUCGAAGUCAAGGUGGGCAGACCUUUUUUCAUUCACGCACCAGGUACAGAAGAUGAGUGUCUUCAUGGCCAGCCAUGUGGCGAGGGCUCUAUCAGAGAACUCCGCCAGCGAAUCUCAAGGUUUGGCGUUCUCAAUGACUGCUUCGGAAGCUAAUAGCUAGACCAGCAACUGCUUCUUUCCCUUUGUGUCCUGCUCAAUCAAUCUUCACCCACAAGGUAGCGUGGACUCACAAGAGAAGGUCUAGCACCCGGCAGGAGGAAGGAAGUGCAGAACAAGAGCUCACGAGAUGAACUCACCCUACGUUUCCUGAAAUAAUUUGACUCUGGGAAGAACCUCAGAAGCGAUCCUCUCUAACCUUCUCGUUUUAUACAUAAGGCACAGAGAGGGACAGUGACUAGCUCAAGGUCACAUAGCAGAUUGGUGACUGAGCUGGGAUCUGGCCCCAGCACUGUCCCAAAGUGAGAAACACUUUAUGUAGCAUGGCCGCCUAUGGCUCCCUGCACAGGCUAGGUGGAGUUAGCCACUCUCUCUGCUGUAGGUUUUUUUGCAUUAUUCUCUCAUCUCAUUUCUGCUGCAUCAAUGUCAAUGUCUUCAUUCUUCAUUCUGAAACAUGAGCUGUGUAUUAGCCAGCGUGGGCUUAUUCUGUGGGAACAAGCCACCCCCAAAUCUCGGUGCUUUAGCCCCUACAAGCUUAUGCUUCCCUCCUAAAUCCCUCCCACGUGGGAAUCAAGUCUUCCAUGAGCCCCAUGUGUUUGAGUCCUGGUAACGUCUGCCACAGCCCAUGACAGAGCCCAUGUCUUCACUAUGUGUGACACAUAGAAGUCACUCAGCAACUACUAGAAUAUGCAAAUAAAUGACACAAAACAAGAAAGGAACGGAGGGGACAAGGGAGGGAUGAGAUUUCUCCCUGGGCCUGACUCUCCUCUGCCUGGUGUGUCAUUUAACCCCCAAGAAUCAGGGGAGAAUCGAAAGAGCCAGAGACUCAAGAGUCCAGAGGUAUGUGGUAAAGUCCCCACUUGGCCACCAACCCGUCUGUGUGGCUUUGGACACGUCAUUUCCCUUAGCUGGACAGUUUUCCUACCAGUAAAGGACACCAUGGGGCUAUUAGAAGGUAAGUUCUAAGUUAUCUGACAUUGUCCAUCCCGUAUCCCACCAGGAAGAACCCUGGGGACCAGCCCUGGCUGUGUGAACGAGCAGCUGCAGCUUUAAUGGAGCAAGUUCAAGGACAUGCCUUAGGGAAAAAUGACACAAAGUCCAUAUAGCGUAGAUUCUGAGUUAAUUGCCGUUAUGACUCAAGAAUUUCUAAAGGUAAUGUAAAAUCUGUUAUUUGGCCCAAAAGGAUAGGCCUUAUUUAAAGAGGC